rnacentral:other from 1 species
UUUCCUGCGGCGUUCGAGAACGGGCUUUCAGCAUUCUUGACCCUACAAUCAUGCGCCUCAGGGGAGUUGUUGUUUUAUCGCCAGUGUGCAGGUCCGCCACGCAGCGGAAAGCCUAAGGCGGUAUUCGCCCUCCCCGACCUGAACCACAGGGUUCAAGGGCGUUGCCCGAACGGCGCUGCGGGAC